rnacentral:sRNA from 1 species
AAGAAGGAAAAGUCCAGAAGGAAAAACAGCCAGAAAAAGAAGAGAGAGAGGAGAGAGGAUAAACAGAGCAAGACGAGGCCAGGCGGGAAGAGAUGCAGCCAAGAGCAGCACCGAAGAGGAGAAGCAGAGGCCAGAGGGCCUGGAGCAGGUGAGAAAACCAGAAAGAAGUAGUCUCAUACCUGGAAUUUCAUCCAGUAGCUGGAGUACCUGUCCUAUGUGGUAGAGGCUGUCCAGCCAUGCACCCCCUCUCUGGAUUUGGUACCCAGAGUCAAGAUCCCCAGGAGUAGGUGUGAGUGCUGACUCAUGUUGCACUGAACAUCCCAUCAUCAAAUCCCAGCUCCAUCUGCUCAUCCUGGUCCAAAGUGGACGAUAAUCCCAUUGUUAAGACAUGUCUCAUUAAGACUUCUCUAAGAUGGAGCCAGCAAACAGCCCAGUAGCAUCGAGGCUGCUGCCUGGGAAAGAGUUCCCUCCUCUCCUCUGUUCAUUAAUGAUUAUGGGAGGUUUUAUUCCCCCCAACAAAAGUGUUAAUUAGACAUCGUUCGGAACAGGGAUAUUACACAAAUGAAUUAAACUCAAACCAAUCAACAA